rnacentral:rRNA from 1 species
AUUGAACGCUGGCGGCAGGCCUAACACAUGCAAGUCGAACGAGUGGCGGACGGGUGAGUAAUGUAUGGGAAACUGCCUGAUGGAGGGGGAUAACUACUGGAAAAGGUAGCUAAUACCGCAUAACAUCAGCUGUGCCCAGAUGGGAUUGGCUAUUUGGUGGGGGAAAGGCUCACAAAGGCGACGAUCCCUAGCUGGUCUGAAAGGAUGACCAGCCACACUGGAACUGAGACACGGUCCAGACGCCUCAGGGAGGAAGCAGUGGGGAAUAUUGCACAAUGGGCGCAAGCCUGAUGCAGCCAUGCCGCGUGUAUGAAGAAGGCCUUCGGGUUGUAAAGUACUUUCAGCGAGGAGGCGUUACCCGCAGAAGAAGCACCGGCUAACUCCGUGCCAGCAGCCGCGGUAAUUC